rnacentral:rRNA from 1 species
UACGUAGGGUGCGAGCGUUUAAUCGGAAUUACUGGGCGUAAAGCGUGCGUAGGCGGUUCGUUAAGUCAGCUGUGAAAGCCCCGGGCUCAACCUGGGAAUUGCGGUUGAAACUGGCGAACUAGAAUCUGGCAGAGGGGGGUGGAAUUCCACGUGUAGCAGUGAAAUGCGUAGAGAUGUGGAGGAACACCGAUGGCGAAGGCAGCCCCUGGU